AAGCCCAGGAGACCAGAGCCCAGCCCCUUCCCCAGGACACCCUAGCUAGAUGAUGCCCACAACCUCUCUGACAUGGGCUGCAGGCUGCUGUGCUCUGUGGCUCUCUGUCUACUGGGAGCAGUCCCCAUGGACACUGGAAUUACCCAGACCCCCAAACACCUGUUAACAGAGACAGGGAGGAGAGUGACCCUCAAGUGUGAACAACAUCUGGGACAUAAUGCUGUGUACUGGUAUCAACAGAGCACUCAGAAGCCACCAAAGCUCAUGUUUGCCUACAGUUACAAGGUACUCGUUGAAAAUGAGACUGCUUCUGGUCGCUUCUCACCUGAGUGCCCAGACAGCUCCAGGUUCUACCUUCACAUGGAUGCCCUGGAGCCCAAUGACUCUGCCUUGUAUCUCUGUGCUAGCAAAGAAACACAGCCCCACACAGCCAACCUCUCCCUGUGCACAAACCUCCUGGGUCUAACAGGUGGCCCUGGGGACAACGAAGACUAG